GACGACCGGGCGGCGCCGCGCCUGGAGCGGCUCGUGGCCGCCUGGUGCGACGCCUUCGCGCAGCGGUUCCGGGCCCGCUGGGUGCCGC
rnacentral:tRNA from 1 species